rnacentral:rRNA from 1 species
UACGUAGGGGGCAAGCGUUGUCCGGAUUUAUUGGGCGUAAAGAGCGUGUAGGCGGCUUGGAAGGUCAGCUGUGAAAACUCGAGGCUCAACCUCGAGACGUCGGUUGAAACCACCUGGCUAGAGUCCGGAAGAGGAGUGUGGAAUUCCCGGUGUAGCGGUGAAAUGCGCAGAUAUCGGGAAGAACACCCGUGGCGAAGGCGGCACUCUGGGACGGUACUGACGCUGAGGCGCGAAAGCUAGGGGAGCAAACAGG